GAUGAAGAACGUAGCGAAAUGCGAUAAGUAAUGUGAAUUGCAGAAUUCAGUGAAUCAUCGAAUCUUUGAACGCACAUUGCGCCCAUUAGUAUUCUAGUGGGCAUGCCUGUUCGAGCGUCAUUAAGUCCACUUAAGCCCUGCUUAGUGUUGGGAGACUGCUCCAGCGGUGCUACCCUGUAGCUACCCUGCAGCUCCUCAAAGACAGCGGCGGAGUUGUGGAAUCCUCUGAGCUUAGUAACUUGUUCUAGCUUUCGAGUACACCACUUCCCCUGCCGUAAAACCCUUAAUUUUUAAUGGUUGACCUCGGAUCAGGUAGGAAUACCCGCUGAACUUAAGCAUAUCAAUAAGCGGAGGA
rnacentral:misc_RNA from 1 species